GAUGAACGCUGGCGGCGUGCCUAAUACAUGCAAGUCGAGCGAACAGACGAGGAGCUUGCUCCUCUGACGUUAGCGGCGGACGGAUGAGUAAAACGUGGAUAACCUACCUAUAAGACUGGGAUAACUUCGGGAAACCGGAGCUAAUACCGGAUAAUAUAUUGAACCGCAUGGUUCAAUAGUGAAAGACGGUUUUGCUGUCACUUAUAGAUGGAUCCGCGCCGCAUUAGCUAGUUGGUAAGGUAACGGCUUACCAAGGCAACGAUGCGUAGCCGACCUGAGAGGGUGAUCGGCCACACUGGAACUGAGACGCGGUCCAGACUCCUACGGGAGGCAGCAGUAGGGAAUCUUCCGCAAUGGGCGAAAGCCUGACGGAGCAACGCCGCGUGAGUGAUGAAGGUCUUCGGAUCGUAAAACUCUGUUAUUAGGGAAGAACAAAUGUGUAAGUAACUAUGCACGUCUUGACGGUACCUAAUCAGAAAGCCACGGCUAACUACGUG
rnacentral:rRNA from 1 species